CGACCCCGACGUGGGCAACUUCCACUACGAGCUGGACACCCUAUGAAGCCCCAUCGCCUGGCAUUGACCCAUAGCCUGGUCCUGCAUUACGGUCUCUAUAAGAAGAUGAUAUCUGUGAUAUUGCCAUUAACUGGGCUGGUGGUCUGCACCAUGCCAAGAAGUUUGAGCCUCUGGCUUCUGCUAUGUCAACGACAUUGUGAUUGGCAUCCUGGAGCUGCUCAGUACCACCCUCGGGUGCUCUACAUUGACAUUGACAUCCACCAUGGUGACGGGGUUCAAGAAGCUUUCUACCUCACUGACCGGGUCAUGACGGUGUCCUUCCACAAAUACGGAAAUUACUUCUUCCCUGGCAC
rnacentral:lncRNA from 1 species